AGCCGCGAUGGCCGGGGCCGCCUCUUUGUGUGGCAGCAGCGCGAAGAUGGCGCGGGGGCCGGCGGCAGCGCCGCCGCCGUGAGGGGCCGGCGCAGGCCCUCCUCCCGCCGGCCUCCUCCCCUCCUCCCCGCCGCCUUCACAACGGCCGCCGAGGGCCGGGGGCGGCCGGGCCGGCCGGGGCUCGGUACCGUCGCCUCCGCUGCCACCGCCGAUGGGGGAGUGCGGGGUGCCCCCCCAGGUGCAGCUCUUCCUCCGUGCCUGCGAGCAGGGCGACUGCGAGACCGCCCGGCGCCUGCUGGGGCUGCCCGGCGGCAGCGCCGAGCCGGCGGCCGCCUCCGCCUGCGGCAGCGAGGAGCCGGCGGAGCCCCGCGGGGAGGCGGCAGCGGCUGCAGGGGUCGUCGCCACCCCGGUGCCGGUCGCGGUCGCGGUCCCGGCAGCAGCCGCCGCCGUCCCCGUCCCCGUGGAUUGCACCGACGAGGCCGGCAACACCGGGCUGCAGUUCGCCGCGGCGGGCGGCCACGAGCAGCUGGUGCGGUUCCUGCUGCGGAAGGGGGCCUCGGUGCAGAGCAGGAACCACUACGGCUGGAGCCCGCUGAUGCAGGCGGCCAGGUUUGGGCAUCUAAGCGUGGCUCACAUCUUGCUGGAAAAUGGUGCCGAUCUCAACGCACAGAAUAAGUUGGGAGCCAACGUCCUCACAAUGGCCUCCAGAGGCGGCCAUGUCAGCAUGGUGAAAUUGUUGCUGGAAUCUGGAGCUUUUGUAGACAAUUACGACCAUUUUAGCACAAAUGUGCUUAACAACAGCAGAGACGACCUCCCUGAUAUCACUCCACUGAUGGCGGCCGCUCAGCAUGGACACGAGGCAGUGGUACAUCUGUUACUAGACUGGGGAGCCGAUUGCAAUUACACUGUGAAGACUAUGGGCUGGAGUCCUUUAAUGCUGGCAGCUGUUAGUGGAAAGGUGAGCUUGGCACAGCAGCUCAUGGAGAAGGGUGCCAAUCCCGAUCACCUGAAUGUACUACAUAAAACACCUUUUGAAAUCUCUGUUGGCUGCAAACAUAAAGACAUGAAGGACUACCUGGAAUCUCUCACAACGAUUAGACCCCAGGCAGAUACAGAAAAGAGGCAACCUGACAUCUUCCAUGCUUUGAAACUGGGCAACUUUCAGCUGGUUAAAGAAAUAGUUGAUGAAGACUCAAGCCAGGUCAAUAUUACCACUGUUGAUGGUGCAUCUCCGUUAAUGAUUGCAUCUGUGACUGGGCAGCUGCCCCUUGUCCAGCUCCUUGUUGAGAAAAAUGCUGAGAUUGACAAACAGGAUAAUGUUCAUGGCUGGACAGCACUAAUGCAGGCCACAUACCAUGGAAACAAAGAAGUUGUAAAGUAUUUGUUAAAUCAAGGAGCUGACGUCAAUCUUCGUGCGAAAAAUGGAUACACAGCUUUUGACCUGAUAAUGCUCCUGAAUGAUCCAGACACAGAACUUGUACGGUUACUCGCAUCAGCAUGCAUGCAAGUAGACAAAGACAAGAAUAAACUCAACAACAGAUCAUCUUUGCCUUGUUCCAGAAGUAGGCAAUCCUUAAAUGUCCCAAUACUGCCAGAUGACAAAGGAGGUUUAAAGUCUUGGUGGAGCAGGAUGUCCAAUCGAUUCCGCAAGCUGAAGCUGACUCAGACGUUGCGCCAUGGGUUUUCUUCCAAUCAGUUUGGGCCUUUUCCUGAUGGGCCUGAAUCUUCAUUAAAUUCCACCAUAAAAGCACCACAGAGUGAUACAGACACCUCCGGAACCUCUGAUGCUCCAACAGCUUGGGUCACAAAUAACAAAGGUGUAAACACUGCAAAAGGAGGGAAGAAUGAUGAACUGUUGACAACCAUGUUGAGAAGUAGUGCUCCAUUUACCAGGCUGCCCAGUGAUAAACUGAAAGCAGUGAUACCCCCUUUCUUACCACCCUCGAGUUUUGAGCUUUGGAAUUCUGACCGAACACGAAUCAACAAAGAUGGCAAAGCUGAACAGAUGAGAACUGCCUGGCCACAGAGAGUGAUCAAGCACGAUUUUAACAGCAGUGGGAACUCUGAUGUAAUGUCUGUUAGCAAAGGUACAAGGCCAGUCAAAUUACCAGCAUUUGCAAGAAGACCUGCAUCUCCUUCAAAUUCCAACAACUUCAACCAUUCUCCCCAUUCUUCUGGUGGAUCCAACAACAUUGCAGGAAUUAACAGGCACGGAGGAGAACUGCAUAACAGAUCAGGUGGCAGUGCAGAUAAUGUUUUGUCUCAAAUCGCAGCCCAGAGAAGAAAAGCAGCAGGCUUACCUGAACAGAAGCCCAGCCAACAGAAUAGUCCAGUCCAGCCAACUCCUUCAUCCACCCAGUCUGAUUUGCAGUGUGCUCAAACUGUUGGCAAUGGACAUGUAGUAAAGCAAAAACUGGAGAUGAACAAAAGACCUCCAUCUGGGACUUCAUCUACAUCUAAAAGCACAUCACCAACUCUCACGCCUUCCCCAUCGCCCUCCCCGUCUCCUAAGGUUCACAACGUGGAGUCGUCUCUCUCUUCUUCUCACAGACAGGCCAAGAGCAACGGUUCCAGCAGUGGUACUAUUACAGAAGAUGGCAAUCAGUUGGUGGACCAUCAACAGCUUUUCCCUAUUCUGAGAACCAGUGAUGUAGAGAAUCAUGAAAGAAGAAACCAUGUGAGAGUAAAAGGAGGCUGUGAAAACUUGGAGAAAGAUGAGCUGACUGGCAUCCUUAAAAAAUUGUCACUUGAGAAAUAUCAACCUAUUUUUGAGGAACAAGAGGUGGAUAUGGAAGCUUUCCUUACUCUUACUGAUGGCGAUCUGAAAGAGCUGGGUAUUAAAACUGAUGGAUCAAGGCAGCAAAUUCUGGCAGCUAUUUCUGAACUGAAUGCAGGAAAGGGACGAGAGAGACAGAUUUUACAAGAAACUAUACACAACUUCCACUCUUCCUUUGAGAGUAGUGUUAGUAACACACGACCUCCUGGUCAUUCCCAAAGGAACUGGAAUUACUCAAGAGCUGAAGAAACAUACAGAUGUAAAGUGUCUCCAAGCAACUUGUUGGUGCCUUGAAGACAGCUAAAAAAAAGUAAUGGUGGUCCAGAGCUGGUUAGAACAUCCUUUUGUAUGAAUUGAGGCAACACUUGCUCCUGCAGACCAAUUGACAAGAUGCUGCAAGGAGGCUCAUCAGAGAUCUAGCUUGUGGGUUUUUGUGUGUGAGAGCUUCAUGAAGUAGAUUUGGCUGAGAGACAGCAACAGGAGCACUAACAAAGGAGGAAGAGGAAAAGUGCAUAUAGAUUAAUGAAGUUUCUGCACCAGCACCUGGCUGCUCUAUAAAACCACAAGAAGCUGUUGCUACUAAGAGGUAGCUACUGGAAAAAAAAAGGAUUUUGUUCUUACGGUGAAGUCUGGGAUCUUGCUGAUUCAAUCCCAGUAUAGAAAUGAAAAUUUGAAACGUUAGUCCUAACUGCACCUAUACAGAACUUUCUGAAGUAAUAUCGUUUAUAAUUCCAAUGCCACAAAGCAUCAAAGGAAGUAAUAAAAAGAUUGCUUCUGCAGUUCAGCUUACAAGUUGAAUUGUUCAAGGCUUCAUUGGUUUGGAUUUGAGAAGAACAAAGAAAAGCAGGAAGAACGAAUGGCCAUAUAAGAUUCAUGUUUUCAUCCUACUUUUUAGUGCCUAUAGCUGAAGAACCCAUAGGAAGCCUAUGUGGGCACAGUCAAGAAGAACGGGAACAUGGAAGAAGGAAUGAAAAUCACCAUGAAUGAGAGCUUCUACAUGGAGAAAUACAUAGCUGAAUAUGCCUCUGUUGGCUGAAUAUAGCCAAAAGAGUCCAAGUUGAAAAUACAAUGGCUUCAUGAGGAGGAGUCUAAAGGAAAAGCAAUGCUGCGUUCUUCAGUAACUAAAAUACACUUUAUCUACUCAAUAUUAAGAAGUUAGAACAGCAGUAAAAGUAAACACAAAAUACCUAUUUGUAAAAAUAGCACUUUAUUUAAGGAACUGCAUAAUCUGUCACUGAUAUUUAAACAUAAAUAGUAUUAAAGUAUUUUAUAUUGUUGAUCCGUUGUUUUGAGAAUAAAACCAUUUAACUGAUGUUGUCUGGGUUUUCUGAAUAGUAACACUAGCAGAUCUUCAAAAUAUGUUUGGUUGUUGUUGUUGUUUUUUUUAACUUUUAUGUUUGAAAGGAUUAGUACAGUAAUUUUUGCUUUAUAUAUAUAUAUAUUUAAUUGAGCAAUUAAAGUAUAAGUAACCAGAAA